rnacentral:rRNA from 1 species
GACGUAGGGCGCGAGCGUUGUCCGGAUUUAUUGGGCGUAAAGAGCUCGUAGGCGGCUUGUUGCGUCAGCUGUGAAAACCCGCAGCUCAACUGUGGGCUUGCAGCUGAUACGGGCGGACUUGAGUACUGCAGGGGAGACUGGAAUUCCUGGUGUAGCGGUGAAAUGCGCAGAUAUCGGGAGGAACACCGGUGGCGAAGGCGGUUCUCUGGGCCUGUUCUGACGCUGAGGAGCGAAAGCGUGGGGAGCGAACAGG